GAUUGAACGCUGGCGGCAUGCUUUACACAUGCAAGUCGAACGGUAACAGGUCUUCGGAUGCUGACGAGUGGCGAACGGGUGAGUAAUGCAUCGGAACGUGCCCAGUCGUGGGGGAUAACGCAGCGAAAGCUGUGCUAAUACCGCAUACGAUCUAUGGAUGAAAGCGGGGGAUCGCAAGACCUCGCGCGAUUGGAGCGGCCGAUGUCAGAUUAGCUAGUUGGUGGGGUAAAGGCCCACCAAGGCGACGAUCUGUAGCUGGUCUGAGAGGACGACCAGCCACACUGGGACUGAGACACGGCCCAGACUCCUACGGGAGGCAGCAGUGGGGAAUUUUGGACAAUGGGCGCAAGCCUGAUCCAGCAAUGCCGCGUGCAGGAAGAAGGCCUUCGGGUUGUAAACUGCUUUUGUACGGAACGAAAAGGUCUGGGUUAAUACCCUGGGCUCAUGACGGUACCGUAAGAAUAAGCACCGGCUAACUACGUGCCAGCAGCCGCGGUAAUA
rnacentral:rRNA from 1 species